CCUACGGGAGGCUGCAGUGGGGAAUAUUGGACAAUGGGGGGAACCCUGAUCCAGCCAUGCCGCGUGUGUGAAGAAGGCCCUCGGGUUGUAAAGCACUUUCAGUGAGGAAGAACGCCUGGUGGUUAAUACCCAUCAGGAAAGACAUCACUCACAGAAGAAGCACCGGCUAACUCCGUGCCAGCAGCCGCGGUAAUACGGAGGGUGCGAGCGUUAAUCGGAAUUACUGGGCGUAAAGCGCGCGUAGGUGGCUUGAUAAGCCGGUUGUGAAAGCCCCGGGCUCAACCUGGGAACGGCAUCCGGAACUGUCAAGCUAGAGUGCAGGAGAGGAAGGUAGAAUUCCCGGUGUAGCGGUGAAAUGCGUAGAGAUCGGGAGGAAUACCAGUGGCGAAGGCGGCCUUCUGGACUGACACUGCCACUGAGGUGCGAAAGCGUGGGUAGCAAACAGGAUUAGAUACCCUAGUAGUC
rnacentral:rRNA from 1 species